AUUUAUAUUUAUCAACAAAUUAAAUAGAUCUGGGAGGUGUCGAUGAAG
rnacentral:guide_RNA from 1 species